rnacentral:lncRNA from 1 species
UUUUUUUUUUUUUUUUUUUUUUUGAGACGGAGUCUCACUCUGUCGCCCAGGCUGGAGUGCAGUGGCCGGAUCUCAGCUCACUGCAAGCUCCGCUUCCCAGGUUCACACCAUUCUCCUGCCUCAGCCUCCCGAGUAGCUGAGACUACAGGUGCCCGCCACCUCGUCCGGCUAGCUUUUUGUAUUUUUUAGUAGAGACGGGGUUUCACCAUGUUAGCCAGGAUGGUCUCGAUCGCCUGACCUCGUGAUCUGCCCGUCUCGGCCUCCCAAAGUGCUGGGAUUACAGGCUUGAGCCACCGCGCCCGGCCUGGCCAGGCACGUUUUAAAGCACUAUGCUAGAGAGACCCAGGUUCAAACCCAGACAAAAUCACCUCGCCAAGCUUUGGCGUGAUUAUAUGCCAAUCCCAUUGAUUUUCUGAGUGGGAGAAAACACUGAAGUGCUGAAGCACCUGGCUGCUAGUCCUCAAUAAACAGCAGUUAUUAUUAUCUCUGCUUCAGAGGAACUAGGGGAGGCUGGGUAUCACGAAAUGCAUAUUUCUUCAUUAAGAGAAGAAAGCUGCAAUUUAAAUUAUUGGCAAAAUCAUCUCCUUAACAAUAAAGUAUUUUCCCUGUUGCUCUUUUUCUGAUUUUCUUUGGCUGGCAGGAGAGCUAACAUUUGCAGGCUCUUCCUCGAGGCCAGGGUCUUGUAUGGUUUGUUACUGGAAGAUACUAUUUGAGGUUGAUGAAUAGUUUCUUACAAUGACAGCACUUUGACCCUCUCUCCAGAACCUGCCCCCACAUCGUUGACUUGGCAUUUCUAAGCACUGGAGUGGGAGAGCACAGCACAGAUUGCAGGAGGGCACAGCACAGAGGCCAGGGUGCCAGACCCCAGCGACAGGGAAUGUUCUAGACUGAAGCACUUUCCCCGGCGUGUUAAUCUGGCCAACAAGCCUCUUCAAAGGUGUGGCUCUGUCCAGAGUUUAAUCCAUCAGGACGUCAACCAAAGGUGACAGGAUACCUGGCACACUGACACUGGGAGGAGUGUGGGUGAAGACAUUUUUAUGGUGAAACUCUUACCCGAAGAAAUCCUGAGAAACUUGCAGAUCACCUCUCUCCUGCUUAGGGUAAAAAAGAAAAAAGAAAAGAAAGGAAAAAUGGGGUGAUGGGACCAAAUGUCAAUUUUGCUCAUCCUGCCACCUCCAAUCUGUGUCUAUGACUCUAAAGAGCAUUUAUAUACUUUGUUCUUCAAAAACAAAAGAAACAAAAAAGAGAAGUAUGCAGAAAUCUUCUAUGUAGAUAUAACUAGCUUUAAGGGAAAAAGUACCUAAAUCCUGAUUUACAGAAGAAAUGAGUGAGUAGGGAUAGAAUAACUUGUUUCACAACACAGUUCUUUGCUUUAUCAGAGGAUUUGCUUUUUCUCAGCACAUACCACUUGUGAAUUUAAAAUAGGACUCAAAGGACAUCAACCUGAUGAUACAAGACUUUUCAGGAUCUAUUCUUACCCAGGACAGGGUAUAUGCUAGAGAACUCAGGGGGAACAGAUCAUUAUCCAGUGUGUACAGGGCUACUUAGUACACAAAUGUCCUGACCCACUCUUUGAAUUCUGCAUUGCCACAGCUUUGUGUUGACUGUGUUCCAAGAAACAGUGAUCCAAAUACUCUCAUUAUGACCCAGCCUGUUACAGAAGGGCUCCUGGAAGAAACUGAGAAUUGAAGUACAUUCUAGAACUUUCCUAAUACUUCGACCUCUCUGCAUACUUUUGAAAUACUUUUCUUCAAUGAGACCCAGGGUGAUCUCACAGCAUUUGGAAGAUGUUACUACAAUGAAACACAGCUGCAACACCAAACAAACAUGAGUGCAUGGCAUCGGGAGACGUGGAGCCUCCUGGGAGAGGAUCCACUUACAGACUAACAAUCAAAACAUCCCAUCAUUAAUCCUUAGCAACCUGCAAGGUAAAACUGCCAGAUGAAGACACUGGGUCAGGUGUCAAUGGACCAGGAGUCAGGUCCUGAUCAUGCUACAGUCCAACCCGUGGCAUGAGUCAAGUCACUUCCUGGAGCUUUGGUUUCCUCUUGUGCAAGGUUGAGAGAGCACUUUGUAAGUUAGAUGGCAUGACACAAGUGUAAGGUAGCUGUCCUGUUAUCAUACGCACAGAGGCCCUAGCUAUGUGAGAAGAUGGCAAACGUUUUGCUGUUUUGAAAUUCUUUUGCCCCAACAUGUCAUUUUCAAGGUGUGUUGCAACCAUAAAGAGAAGCUGCCUGGGAGCCCUGAGGAUGUGCCUGGUAGUCUCAGGUGUCUUGAGAGAGGCACCUGCCCUGGGGGUUGGGAGGGACAUGGUACUGCCACCACCAGGAUCUGCUAAUAGGGAAUCGGAGACUAUUGAAGGACACAUACAAACUUUUUUCUCACCUGUAAUGUAGAAUAAAUCACAGUCUUCAAGCACUUGUUUAUAGAGUAUUAUAAUCAGUCUUUACAAACACUCUGAGAAAUGGUGCAGGCAGGUCAUUUUUGCCCAGGUGAAGAAACAGGUGAACUGCUUCACCUUGCUGAGACUGGUAAAGGCCAUGAUCUUGAAAGAAAUCUUGGGCUCCUGAGAUCCCCUCUUACAGGUGUGCGCAACCCAUAAAAGAGUACUAGAAGGUCUGUCCACA